AUCAGGUGGAGGGGCUAGGGUUGUGGUUGCUGGAGAAUUGUGUCUCAGGAAGAGGGAACAGCAUGUGCAAAGGCCCAGAAGCAAGCUUGACACACAAAGUCAUUUCACUGAAACCCGGCAACACCCCAAGUGGAAAUGUCUUAUUUUGCAGAUGAGUAAACUGAGGCUUGAGGAGGUUAUAUAACCUGCCCAGGGUGCCACAGGUGCGUCCUGAGCCUGUGAGGUUUCCCUGAGGACUCAACCUGAGUCACACAUCCCUCCAAAAGACCAGUCCUGUUUACCUGUGGAAAAUGUUCAGAAAGUCUCAGGGUUAAUGAGGUUUCUGGAGAGGAAACUCAUCACGUAGGAGAGAAAGAGUGAAUGGGAAAGAGGAGAAGCCUGCUUCCAAGGUUACCGCGAAGGCGAUUCCGAGAUUCGAGCAUCAUUUCCCAGCCUGGGUCCUCCUUGGGUGCUGUCCCAUCUGAUCCACGUCUCCUGAAAUGAAUCACAAUGCAAAGUAGGCCAGAUGUGGGCAGGAAGAGGAAGCUGAAUAAAUGAAUGGCUGCUGGAAUUGCUCCUGGAAAAGAAGUGACUCUUAUCGCAUGCCUUCUACAGAGAGCUGCGUGCUGGAACAGGCACAAUCUCACUGAUGCUCUCAUUUCAUCUCCACAACCCCAACAAGAGGUAGGUGUGAGUCUUCUUAUCUUUAUUUUUAUUUUUUGGUGAG
rnacentral:lncRNA from 1 species